AGAGUAUUCUUGGCUGGUGAUUUUUCCAUUCAGCACUUUGAAUAUGUCAUGUCACUUCCUUCUGGCUUGCCAAGAUUCUGUUGACAAAUCUGUUGCUGUGCUUUGGUGUUUGGGGACAUGUGGCUGUGUGAGACAGAUAAGGGUAGCUGGGGGUGCACAGCUGGGUACGGUGCAGAUGUGUGCAGUGGCAGCUUUGCCUACAGCUGGCCAGACAGGGUGCCCAUGUGGUUUUAAAAAAGUUUGCCCCAAGGCCAGCAGGCUUUGAGUGGGCGAGUCCCCUAGAGAACUCUUGGGACUGGCACAAAGCUAGCACGUUAGGUAGCAAGUGUCUUUGUAGGUCCAAUUCCUGGUAGGUGCCUCUGUGCUUAAUCUGGGGGUGGGGGUUGGGGUUAAAAAUGGUGCCUGUGAGCUCCCUCAUUUUUGGAAAAGUCCCCCAACCACUCAGAAGUCAGCAAGAACAGAUCUGCCUCCUGUUGCCUUGGCAUUGUGUAAAAUGCCAUGUGUACAUUGCCUCUCUACACAGGUAGGGACCUGGUUACACUCAUCCUCCUAGAUCACCCAGUGCUGGGUCAGCUGAUCUCCAAAGCUCCAGGAACCAAACUCAAGGGAAUUCAGCCCCUCUGGGUUUUACAGCCAAAUGUUCUGGGGAUUAGUCUUCCCUGUGUCAGCUCCCUGUUGUGAGGGCUCACUUUCUCUGUCUUCUCUGCAGGCAGCCAGCCUCCACCUUUCUGACCUUCCUAACCUUUCUGAUGAAGCUUCUCUCUAUUUAGGUGGGGGGUUUGUUCUGCCAGUCUUUGGAUAGCUCUCUGGUUCAUGGACUUGGAUGUGUAUGUUAUGUAGUUGAACACAUGGGACAGGAUAUUGCCCAGGUGUCUGAAUGCCUGCACUGGGGUACCUACCUCCUUUUCUGAUAGACUGUAUUCCUUUUCCAUGUUUUAGCUGUACCUGUGACACAGGAUACGAGAGAACAUGCUCAUGUGAACACAAGUGAAGGACACGGUGGGGACUUGCCAUACAGGUAAUUUUUUUCUCUUCACAACUUAAGUUUCAGUGCAUGUUUUCUAUGAAAAGUAUGCCACCUCUUAUAGGUCAGAGUAUUUAUGCCCAGGGCACACUUGAAGGGAUUCUGGACAGCAUGUUUACCAAAAUGCUGAUGGGUAUAAAAUUUAUUUUGUCUAAGACCAUUCUAAAUGACACAUACAAAAAUAUAAGUUGGAGUGAAAGCAGUUUGCAUUUUCAAAUUGUAAGGAUACCCACAGAUUUUUCUGAACACGUUAAAACCCUUGAGAAGAAGAAAGAGCAAGAGCAAUGAUUCCACAUUGAGGAGAUCCAGAAUGAAUGAGGCAAGGUAGGAGACUUCCAAGUGGAGUGUGGUGUCAUCCUCCUUGAUUUUUUCCAGGAACACAUUGGAAAAUCCCUAUGGUCCUCACCCUUAAGCACGCUUUGCUUCUAAAGUUACCAGAAAGAGAUGCCAGGUAGAAAACAGGGAAGCCUGUAGACUCAGGGGUAAAGGUUUUGCAUUUGGAAAAAAACAAAACAAAAACAAAAGACAUACCAUACAACACACAAACCAGAGACAAUGGCAGGAGAGUGUGCUGUACAGAAAGAUGUGGCUGUCCAUAAAGACUUAGAACUGAAAAUGGCCACAGCAUUUACC